GAUGAACGCUGGCGGCGUGCCUAAUACAUGCAAGUCGAGCGAACAGAUGAGAAGCUUGCUUCUCUGAUGUUAGCGGCGGACGGGUGAGUAACACGUGGGUAACCUACCUAUAAGACUGGGAUAACUCCGGGAAACCGGGGCUAAUACCGGAUAAUAUUUUGAACCGCAUGGUUCAAUAGUGAAAGACGGUUUCGGCUGGCACUUAUAGAUGGACCGGCGCCGUAUUAGCUAGUUGGUAAGGUAACGGCUUACCAAGGCGACGAUACGUAGCCGACCUGAGGGGAGAAACGGCCAGACCUGAAUUGGGAACCGGUACAGAUUCCUACGGGAGGCAGCAGUAGGGAAUCUUCCGCCAUGGGCGAAAGCCUGAAGGAGCAACGCCGCGUGAGUGAGGAAGGUCUUCGGAUCGUAAAACUCUGUUGUUAGGGAACAACAAAUUUGUUAGUAACUGAACAAGUCUUGACGGUACCUAACCAGAAAGCCGCGGCUAACUACGUGCCAGCAGCCGCCGUAA
rnacentral:rRNA from 1 species